AGGACAUUAUUUGUACUCUAUGUUUGAUGGUAUGGAACCUCCCAUCAUGAUAGUUUUUUUUACCAAAACCAAUCUACCCAUAAUAUAUGCUAGUUUAGGAUUGCAAUUUUUAUAAUUUCAAUUUCUGUCAUUUUGAUUUCUGAGUAAUGAAUGAAGAAUUUAUGUUGUGUUGGUGUUGUUUUCUUAAUGUUAGUCUUUUGUUAAAUAAUAAUAAUAAUAAAAAUAAAAAUAAAUAAAAAUAGAAAGAAAAAU
rnacentral:lncRNA from 1 species